AAGASCUUGCGCUUUUGGAGCGGCCGAUGUCUGAUUAGCUUGUUGGUGAGGUAAAAGCUUACCAAGGCUUCGAUCAGUAGCUGGUCUGAGAGGACGGCCAGCCACACUGGGACUGAGACACGGCCCAGACUCCUACGGGAGGCAGCAGUGGGGAAUUUUGGACAAUGGGGGCAACCCUGAUCCAGCCAUGCCGCGUGAGUGAAGAAGGCCUUCGGGUUGUAAAGCUCUUUCAGCCGGAACGAAACGGUUACGGUUAAUACCCGUGACUACUGACGGUACCGGAAGAAGAAGCACCGGCUAACUACGUGCCAGCAGCCGCGGUAAUACGUAGGGUGCAAGCGUUAAUCGGAAUUACUGGGCGUAAAGCGUGCGCAGGUGGUUUUGUAAGUCAGAUGUGAAAUCCCCGGGCUUAACCUGGGAACU
rnacentral:rRNA from 1 species